rnacentral:rRNA from 1 species
GGUCUAAGUUCCUUGGAACAGGACAUCGCAGAGGGUGAGAAUCCCGUACGUGGGCGCCUGCCUUUGCCGUGNAAAGCUCCUUCNACCAGCCCAGUUGUUUGGGAAUACAGUUCUAAAUGGGAGGUAAAUUUCUUCUAAAGCUAAAUACCGGCCAGAGACCGAUAGCCCACAAGUAGAGUGAUCGAAAGAUGAAAAGNACUUUGGAAAGAGAGUCAAAAAGCACGUGAAAUUGUUGAAAGGGAAGCGCUUGCAGCCAGACUUGCCCGGGGUUGCUCNCCUANGCUUUGGCCUGGGGCACUCUUCUGCGGGCAGGCCANCAUCANUUUGGGCGGNUGGAUAAAGGCCUCUGUNACGUAUCUCCCUUCGGGGUGACCUUAUAGGGGAGGCGCANUGCAACC